GAUGAACGCUGGCGGCGUGCCUAAUACAUGCAAGUCGAGCGAAUGGAUUAAGAGCUUGCUCUUAUGAAGUUAGCGGCGGACGGGUGAGUAACACGUGGGUAACCUGCCCAUAAGACUGGGAUAACUCCGGGAAACCGGGGCUAAUACCGGAUAACAUUUUGAACCGCAUGGUUCGAAAUUGAAAGGCGGCUUCGGCUGUCACUUAUGGAUGGACCGGCGUCGCAUUAGCUCGUUGGUGAGGUAACGGCUCACCAAGGCAACGAUGCGUAGCCGACCUGAGAGGGUGAUCGGCCACACUGGGACUGAGACACGGCCCAGACUCCUACGGGAGGCAGCAGUAGGGAAUCUUCCGCAAUGGACGAAAGUCUGACGGAGCAACGCCGCGUGAGUGAUGAAGGCUUUCGGGUCGUAAAACUCUGUUGUUAGGGAAGAACAAGUGCUAGUUGAAUAAGCUGGCACCUUGACGGUACCUAACCAGAAAGCCACGGCUAACUACGUGCCAGCCGCCGCGUAA
rnacentral:rRNA from 1 species